GCGAAAGUGGCGGAAUUGGUAGACGCGCUGGACUUAGAAUCCAGUGGGAGUUAUCCUGUAGGGGUUCAAAUCCCCUCUUUCGCACCA
rnacentral:tRNA from 1 species